GUGGUUUUCCAGGACAGAACAAGGACAUCACAUGAAAACUAAAGAUAUCAGCCACUCCACACCCACAGCACAGCCCUUCCCAGAACAAAAUCCACAUUCCUGAAACAACUGAAAAAGCCUUCAAUUUCACUCCCGGAAGGAAAGCAAACGAACAGCACACCGCGGCCCAGUCUAUUAGACCGGCAGGAUGAAAAGGCCCAACGUCGCAUUCUGUGGCCGAGGCUGUGGGGACGCAGACCUCUGCCCACUGCCGGUGGGAGUGCAAACGGUCCCCUGCCACCAGUGAUGAGGGGCCCAGGGUUCAACAGCCCAACAGCAUGCUUCCCUGUCGACAGCAGCCCCGGAUCCUGGAGCUGACCCUGAAGUGCGUGUGCCAUGUUGCCCUCACGGCGCCGUUUGUGACCGGGGGUGUUGGGAACAGCCUAGAUGCCAUACAGACGGACAUGGGACAUCCACAGGGGGACUCAGGCAGCCGAGGAGGAGGGAGCCUCUGCAAGGGGAGGCCUUGGCCGGGCAUGCUAGGAACAAAAGCAGUAAAGUGCAAACACGCGUCUCCAAGGAGCACACGGCCCUGCGUGCAGGGGAGAAGAGGGAGGCAGCAACACACGCUUGUAUCUGCUGCUUUCGUGGGGGAAAUAAAGCCCAAAACAGAAUAAGCCAGAGACUGACAAGACACUUCUCGAGUAGACGAUGACUUCUGGACCCACGUUAACAUUUCAAAUGCUCAAGAAAUAGCAAAGGCGUGAUAAAAUCAACAGAGGGAGAAAAAUGCGUAAGAAGUGAAAUCUAAAGGAGAGCAAGGGAAGCGGAGAGGAUGAUGAAAGGACAGUGGAGCUGCAGGCACAGCCGAGCACCAGGGCACAGUAUGCGGGCUGCACACUUGGGCCGACGACAGAACGGGUACGAGCGAGCGUUCGGCUCUGGCGAGGAAGCCUGCCGUUAUCACGGAUGCGUGAGCUGUUUAGAAACAACCGUCUGGGUAUUCCAGGAUAAAACAAGUAUCUAGGCCACAGAAGAGGACAUCUGUCCAGACCACAGCUCUCAGGCCACAGAAGACACGGCCACGGCGUGGCUCCCAGACCACGACAUUUCCUCUGGUUGUGUCUCAGGCUACAGUGAGGAUGGCUGGACAAAUUCUUAACAAGAGUGCACUAUCGAUGUUGGUCUCCCGAUCAGAGCAAGGCCACACGAGAGUGUCCUUGUUCUUGGGAAACAAACGCUGAGAUACAGAGUAUCCGGAAGGACGCACAAAAAGAGAUCAUCCGUCCACAGAACUCAAAUAGAAACAGGAGAAAAACAAAAGAUGAUUUUAAAAACGAAGACUAAAUCGGAAGGAAAACCAAAGUGGACGCCUGCCACGGCGACUUCAGAGGGACAGAAGGAGAAAGGGGGCGAUUUUUUACAAGUCAGGAAAGACACCGGAAAGACCUUGAGGCAGAGGAGGCUCUGAACGCGUCCCCGAGAAGAAAACCGGAGCCCAUAACAAGAGCUGAGCACGGCAGGCCAGGACACUUCCGCGGACGCAGAGCAGUCUGAAACCACGUGUUGAGGGGGCACGUCGCAUGGCGGACACUGAGACACUAUGACAAAGUCACUGCGCUCUGGAGAGUUCUGAGAGGACACAGGACUUGAAAAUAAACAUCUCAAGAUAACGAGGUUUAAGAAAAA